rnacentral:rRNA from 1 species
AUUGAACGCUGACGGCAUGCCUUACACAUGCAAGUCGAACGGCAGCAUGAUCUAGCUUGCUAGAUUGAUGGCGAGUGGCGAACGGGUGAGUAAUACAUCGGAACGUGCCCUGUAGUGGGGGAUAACUAGUCGAAAGAUUAGCUAAUACCGCAUACGACCUGAGGGUGAAAGUGGGGGACCGCAAGGCCUCAUGCUAUAGGAGCGGCCGAUGUCUGAUUAGCUAGUUGGUGAGGUAAAGGCUCACCAAGGCGACGAUCAGUAGCUGGUCUGAGAGGACGAUCAGCCACACUGGGACUGAGACACGGCCCAGACUCCUACGGGAGGCAGCAGUGGGGAAUUUUGGACAAUGGGCGAAAGCCUGAUCCAGCAAUGCCGCGUGUGUGAAGAAGGCCUUCGGGUUGUAAAGCACUUUUGUCCGGAAAGAAAUGGCUCUGGUUAAUACCUGGGGUCGAUGACGGUACCGGAAGAAUAAGGACCGGCUAACUACGUG